rnacentral:lncRNA from 1 species
GAAUUUGUCGAAGUGGUGGAACGAGCUUUCCUAUUAAAAGCUGCUAGGUGAAUCCCUAAAGUAGAUUAGUUCGAUCAGCAAGACCCGUCUCCGCAGCAUUGGAAUCAAUAUUUUGCUUGGCAUAGUUGCAGUACGACUUUCCUGGUCUAUUUAACUAACUGAAGCUAGCCGAGAUCGAGAGCUUUCUUAUCAUGCAGCUCCUGGAUUGAAAAGAGGCUGGUGGGCCAAGGCUUAAACUGCCAGACAGAGACGAGCUAGCUGGACUCUUACGUAAUUGAGUAUAGAAAGAGGAAUCGUCUUAUGUGCGGAUUGAAGUGCGUGAUAGAGAUAGAUGCUUCCGUAAGUUUACUUUUUUCAGGAAAGCUAAAUUCUUUUGUAGCAGCCAGAAAGAGAAAGAAAUCCCCUCUUCCGCUUAAGGCACCGAAGUCCCUGAGCUAAUAUCAAUAGCAGUAGAUUCAAGGGAAGUUCUUUCUAGAGCAGUAAGAGCCUAUUCUGUCUUGCUUUCUGAUUCAAUUCCGCUGCUAGGGUGAGCUAACUCCAAA